AGUGAGAGAGAAAGAGAGAGAGGGAGAGAAAAGGAGAGAGCAAGAGGGGGCUGUGCUCUCAGUGGCAUCUCCAUCUUAUAACUCCUCUGCUAGUCAGUGCAUCCACACACACGCACACACACACACACACACACACACACACACACACUGACAUAGAGGCUACAGUACAGUAUAUCAGUUUAGUGCAGUGUGGGUCAGGACUGUCGUUCAGCGGAGAGUGUGAAGUGGUGUGUGCAGUGAGGACAUCAUGUGUCGUGUGGUGGAUGAUGGAUCAUCUGCAACAGGUCGGGUCAUCAAAACCACUUUCGUUCACAUCAAGACGAACAGGAAACCGUUCUGCCGAGUGUGACCGUCGGCUGACUCACCCUGGAUUCUCGGACGCUUGAUGACACCAAUCUUGGAGAGAUGAGAGCCAAAUUGAUGACUACAGCCUCUGGAUGCCUCUUGGCCCCAUGAGGGUCACCAAUCUCAUUUAGUCAUCAUACCAGAUUGGUGAUGCAUAGCAUUUACCAGCAAACCCCGAGGAGGGUGGAAUUUCAUUUCCUUCCUCUGAAACAGCUCCAGUGUUGUUUUUGUGUGAUGUGGUGAGGUUGCACUGCGGCACUUCUUUCCCUGAAAUGAAAACAUGUAUUAACCAGUAUCUUUGUAUCCCUGUGUGUUGGGUUUGUGUGUAAUGAGAUAAACCUUCACCCUUUUCUACUCCUGUUCAAAUGAAGCCAUCUGGGAGCGAACAUGAGUCACAGCUCCAGGAGUAGAUCAUUAUUAAACCUACCAGACCUGAGACAUUCACGUUAACAACAGUUUUUAUUCUAUAGCUCAGAACAGAAAAUGCUAAAUGCACUUAACACAGUUAGCCUGACUCUGUCCAGUGGUGAAACAAAAUGGACAACUUCAGAGUGUAUUUUUAACUGUGCAAUUCAAUGGC